rnacentral:rRNA from 1 species
AUUGAACGCUGGCGGCAGGCCUAACACAUGCAAGUCGAACGAGAGUCGGACGGGUGAGUAAUGUUUGGGAAACUGCCCGAUGGAGGGGGAUAACUACUGGAAAAGGUAGCUAAUACACCACACCAUCGGAUGUGUCCAGAUGGGAUCAGCUUGGAGGUGAGGUAACGGCUCACCUAGGGGACGAUCCCUCGCUGGUCUGAGAGGAUGACCAGCCACACUGGAACUGAGACACGGUCCAGACUACUACGGGAGGCAGCAGUGGAGAAUAUUGCACAAUGGGCGCAAGCCUGAUCCAGCCAUGCCGCGUGUGUGAAGAAGGUCUUCGGAUUGUAAAGCACUUUAAGUUGGGAGGCGUUACCAACAGAAUAAGCACCGGCUAACUUCGUGCCAGCAGCCGCGGUAAUAC